rnacentral:rRNA from 1 species
GACGAACGCUGGCGGCGUGCUUAACACAUGCAAGUCGAACGGUGAAGGGACUGGUUUUGCUGGUCCUGGAUGAGUGGCGAACGGGUGAGUAACACGUGAGUAACCUGCCCCCUUCUUCUGGAUAACCGCAUGAAAGUGUGGCUAAUACGGGAUAUUCUGGGUCUGUCGCAUGGUGGGCCUGGGAAAGAUUGCGCCUUUUUUGGUGUUUUUGGUGGGGGAUGGGCUCGCGGCCUAUCAGCUUGUUGGUGGGGUGAUGGCCUACCAAGGCGGUGACGGGUAGCCGGCCUGAGAGGGUGGACGGUCACACUGGGACUGAGACACGGCCCAGACUCCUACGGGAGGCAGCAGUGGGGAAUAUUGCACAAUGGGCGCAGGCCUGAUGCAGCGACGCCGCGUGAGGGAUGGAGGCCUUCGGGUUGUGAACCUCCUUCGCCAGUGAAGCAGGCCUGCCUCUUUUUGUGGGUGGGUUGACGGUAGCUGGAUAAGAAGCGCCGGCUAACUACGUG